GAUGAACGCUGGCGGCGUGCCUAAUACAUGCAAGUCGAGCGAACGGACGAUAAGCUUGCUUCUCUGAUGUUAGCGGCGGACGGGUGAGUAACACGUGGAUAACCUACUUAUAAUUCUGGGAUAACUUCGGGAAACCGUAGCUAAUACCGGAUAAUAUUUUGAACCGCAUGGUUCAAAAGUGAAAGACGGUCUUGCUGUCACUUAUAGAUGGAUCCGCGCUGCAUUAGCUAGUUGGUAAGGUAACGGCCUACCAAGGCAACGAUGCAUAGCCGACCUGAGAGGGUGAUCGGCCACACUGGAACUGAGACACGGUCCAGACUCCUACGGGAGGCAGCAGUAGGGAAUCUUCCGCAAUGGGCGAAAGCCUGACGGAGCAACGCCGCGUGAGUGAUGGAGGUCUUCGGAUCGUAAAACUCUGUUAUUAGGGAAGAACAUAUGUGUAAGAAACUGUGCACAUCUUGACGGUACCUAAUCAGAAAGCCACGGCUAACUACGUG
rnacentral:rRNA from 1 species